AGUAAAAAAGUAGUUGUUGAAUAUAAACGAUGUAGCUACUUGACUUUAACUUUAUUUGAUGCCAAUAUUUAGAAAGCUGGCCGACUUCAGCGAUGACUAUUGUUGUCUUUCGUUGAAUUACUUAGAAUAUCUAAUACAAAAAAAAAAAAAAAAAGAAACAGCAAACAACAGACAGGAAAGUAUGUCGUCCUGUAAGCUGACAUCAUACAUGGCCCUGUAUUCCUGCACGAUCUUCUUCAGGUCGACCUCAGAGCGGCUCACCAGCACCCUGAUCAGUGUGUCGUCACAUGUGCCGUGACCCUGAGAGAACGGAGCAAAGAGUCCAACCCGCUUGUGCAGCCAGCAGUGGUCCUUGAGCCUGGAGGUGUCCCUCCGUCCAUCCAUUCAUCCACCCAUCUGAUAAUAAUUGUAUAAAAUAUCCCGACAACCACAGGCCAGAAGAUCUACUGUGGAAAUGUAGGGUCUUUGUGUUGGAUUUUGGUGAACCUCUGACCUUUGCUUACACAUACACCAUUUCCUGUAUAUUACUAAAUGUGCAACAAUCGCAGGUAAAACUUGGGGAAAAAAACAUUGUAGUUAGAAUUUAUUAAGAGAUUAACGCUCGAAAGCUCAGUUGAUCUGCUUCUUCAAGAAUGUGUGGGUGUGCAGAUUUGAUUGACAGUGACCUGAAACUGGCAGCAUAACCAAACAACCCAACUUAUAUAUAUAUAGUCCAAAAAACCUGUCCAUCUGGACUAUAUAUAUAUAUAUAUAUAUAUAUAUAUAUAUCUUAUAUGGCUAAAUCCUGAACAAGAGAACUCCUCAUUCAUAAAAAGUGAAACCAAAUGUGAUCAGGACAGAAAUGAAGAAAACCUCCGUACCAAUGUCAACCAGACAGUCCUCAAUGUCUCCCUUCAGCUCCAUGUCCAGGGCUUUGGGCAACGUGACGUCACUGACACUGGCGUAGUGCUGGAAUGCUGCCAGGUGAACACACAAACAACAGGUAUUUAGGAUCAAAUACAUCUGUUUGACGGGUAGUCAAACAGAAAGCAGAUGAUGAGAUCAUUGAGUGUGCCCCAAACAUCCCCGGAACAGUCUUCAGGUGGUUUGAUCAGAUCUUUAUCAUGAGCUGCCAGAAUUGAUACUCAAAACAAAGCAUUGAUAUGAACUACGGAGCAUCGUCAUGUUGAAAGAGUAUGAGUGCUUAAAUAAACCUUCACUUGAUACAUACAUAGUUUAACAAAGAAUUGUUCAAAAGAACUUGAGCCUACUUUGCUCCGUGUUUAUUCUACACUGCUGGGUGUGUUCCACCUGCUACCUGACAGAGUGUGGUUCCACCUGUUUUCCAGGUGUGUGUGUGUGUGUGUGUGUGUGUGUAUACUCUUUGAAAUAAAGGUUUUGUCAGUUUCAGCCUCUGAUGAAUCAACCUGACACAUUUCAAGCACUCACUCUUUGCGAGCUGCAGCGCGUUCCGGGUGGUCAGGAUGUCGAUGAAGGUCGAAACAUUGAUUCCUUUGGUAUUCUCACCGGCCUCGAACAGAAUCUACAGGCAGAACACAGGAACACGA